AGCGAACGCUGGCGGCAGGCCUAACACAUGCAAGUCGAACGAAGCCUUCGGGCUUAGUGGCGGACGGGUGAGUAACACGUGGGAACGUACCUUUUGGUUCGGAACAACUCAGGGAAACUUGAGCUAAUACCGGAUGAGCCCUUAGGGGGAAAGAUUUAUCGCCGAAAGAGCGGCCCGCGUUAGAUUAGCUAGUUGGUGAGGUAAAGGCUCACCAAGGCUACGAUCUAUAGCUGGUCUGAGAGGAUGAUAAGCCACACUGGAACUGAGACACGGCCCAGACUCCUACGGGAGGCAGCAGUGGGGAAUCUUGCGCAAUGGGCGAAAGCCUGACGCAGCCAUGCCGCGUGAAUGAUGAAGGUCUUAGGAUUGUAAAAUUCUUUUACCAGGGACGAUAAUGACGGUACCUGGAGAAAAAGCCCCGGCUAACUUCGUGCCAGCCGCCGCGGUAACAC
rnacentral:rRNA from 1 species